CGGGACUCUCACGAGGCCUCGUAAUCGGAAUGAGUACACUUUAAAUAUUUUAACGAGGAACAAUUGGAGGGCAAGUCUGGUGCCAGCAGCCGCGGUAAUUCCAGCUCCAAUAGCGUAUACUAAAUUUGUUGCGGUUAAAAAGCUCGUAGUUGCAUUUGUGCGCCGCGCUGUCGGUGCACCGCAUCCGCGGUGAUACUGACACGUCUGCGGAGCAUAUCGUCGGUGAGCCGCCCGUAAAACGGCGGUUCAAUAUCAAAAUCCUAUCGCGGUGCUCUUCAGUGAGUGUCGAGGUGGGCCGGCAAUUUUACUUUGAACAAAUUAGAGUGCUCAAAGCGGGCUCAAAACGCUGCUUGAAUAUUUCGUGCAUGGAAUAAUAGAAUAUGAUCUCGGUUCUAUUUUGUUGGUUUUCAGAACUCCGAGGUAAUGAUUAAUAGGGAUAACUGGGGGCAUUCGUAUUGCGACGUUAGAGGUGAAAUUCUUGGAUCGUCGCAAGACGAACAUCAGCGAAAGCAUUUGCCAAAGGUGUUUUCAUCAAUCAAGAACGAAAGUUAGAGGUUCGAAGGCGAUUAGAUACCGCCCUAGUUCUAACCGUAAAUAUGUCAUCUAGCGAUCCGCCGACGUUAAUCAAAUGGCUCGGCGGGCAGCUUCCGGGAAACCAAAGAUUUUGGACUCCGGGGGGAGUAUGGUUGCAAAGCUGAAACUUAAAGGAA
rnacentral:rRNA from 1 species